rnacentral:piRNA from 1 species
UGCGUGGUGCUGCUUUGGUACUGAGAUGU